rnacentral:lncRNA from 1 species
AUAAAUCUCCACCUCCUCCAGUUAAACACUACUCUCCACCACCGGUUUACCACUCUCCACCACCCCCAAAGAAGCACUACGUGUACAAAUCCCCGCCACCCCCGGUUAAGCACUACUCUCCUCCUCCCGUUUACCAUUCUCCACCACCACCAAAGAAACACUACGUGUACAAGUCCCCUCCUCCUCCGGUUAAACACUAUUCUCCUCCUCCGGUUUACCACUCUCCACCACCUCCUAAGAAGGACUACGUCUACAAAUCUCCACCCCCACCGGUUAAGCACUACUCUCCCCCACCAGUCUACCACUCACCACCACCACCCAAGAAACAUUACGUAUACAAAUCUCCUCCUCCUCCGGUUAAACACUACACACCGCCUCCAGUUUACCAUUCCCCACCCCCACCUAAAAAACAUUACGUCUACAAAUCUCCUCCUCCUCCAGUGAUGCACUAUUCUCCUCCUCCGGUUUACCACUCUCCACCACCACCAAAGAAACACUAUGUGUACAAAUCUCCUCCUCCUCCGGUUAUGCACUACUCCCCUCCUCCGGUUUACCACUCUCCACCACCACCAAAGAAACACUACGUGUACAAAUCUCCUCCUCCGCCGGUUAAACAUUAUCCCCCACCGGUUUACCACUCUCCACCACCACCAAAGAAACACUACGUGUACAAAUCCCCUCCUCCUCCAGUGAAGCACUACUCUCCCCCUCCGGUUUACCAUUCCCCACCCCCACCAAAGAAGCACUACGUAUACAAAUCCC